rnacentral:ncRNA from 1 species
CAACUCUGUGAAAAAAGAUAAACAGCUCCUAGGAGGCUUGCCUCCGUCGUCGUGUUUCCUAUUUUUCUUUGAGUUG